GACACAUUUUUUUUCCUUAGUUACUCCAUU
rnacentral:piRNA from 1 species